GAUGAACGCUGGCGGCGUGCUUAACACAUGCAAGUCGAACGGAAAGUCUUCUUCUUGCUGGGGUACUCGAGUGUCGCACGGGUGAGUAUCACGUUGGUGAUCUGCCCUGCACUUCGGGCUACUCCUAGUAACCUGGGGCUAGUACCGGAUAGGACGAUGUUUUGGUUGCCAUUGUGGAGCGUUUUAUGGUGUGGGAUGAGCUCCCGGCCUAUCAGCAUGUUGUUGGCGAUAUGUCCUCCCAACGGGUCGACGGGUAGCCGGCGUGAGAGGGUGAACGGCCACAAUGGGACUGAGAUAAGGCGCAGACGCCUACGGGAGGCAGCAGUAGGGAAGAAUGCACAAUGAGGGGAAGAAUGAUGCAGCGACAACGCGUGGGGGAUGACGACCUUCGGGUGGUAAACAACUUUCGCUAGGGAAGAAGAGGAAGUGACGGUACCUGGAGAAGAAGCACCGGCUAACUACGUG
rnacentral:rRNA from 1 species